rnacentral:rRNA from 1 species
CAGCAGCCGCGGUAAUACAGAGGGUGCAAGCGUUAAUCGGAAUUACUGGGCGUAAAGCGCGCGUAGGUGGUUCGCCAAGUUGGAUGUGAAAUCCCCGGGCUCAACCUGGGAACUGCAUCCAAAACUGGUGAGCUAGAGUACGGUAGAGGGUAGUGGAAUUUCCUGUGUAGCGGUGAAAUGCGUAGAUAUAGGAAGGAACACCAGUGGCGAAGGCGACUACCUGGACUGAUACUGACACUGAGGUGCGAAAGCAUGGGGAGCAAACAGGAUUAGAUACCCGGGUAGUCCCUGUCUCUUAUAC